ACAUUUCUCUGCUGAAGUAAGAGUAUAUGGAGCUGGUGAGGUGGAUGUGGAGGCUGGUGCUGCUGGUGGGGUGGAGGCUGGUGGGAUGGAGGCCGGUGAUGCUGGUGGGAUGGACGCCGGCGAUGCUGGUGGGAUGGACGCCGGUGAUGCUGGUGGGGUGGAGGCUGGUGGGAUGGAGGCUGGUGCUGCUGGUGGGGUGGAGGCUGGUGCUGCUGGUGGGGUGGAGGCCGGCGAUGCUUGACCUGCUGUUGUGGCUGGUACUGCAGAGGUUGCGGAGACUGGGCCCAAUGAUGCACCGAUUUUGUGGGGGAUUCGGGGCUGCUCCACCUUUGCAAGCUGAAGGUGGUCUACAUUAACUUUAUUUUAUGACAGUCCCACCUUCAGCCAGCAGAUCUGCACUUUUCCCCUGAAGUGCCACCACGGUGAAAGGGCCAAGAAAGUUUGGCUCCAGCUUUCCACCUUUCCUCUGCUGACUCCUCACAUUCUGCCUCCACACCUUGUCCC
ensembl:lncRNA